rnacentral:ncRNA from 1 species
GUUCACUUGGUAUUCAUAAGAUGACAUAUUUUGUAAACUAUUGCUUAGUAAAUACCAGAACAAGUUGCAAGCAGUUUAUUGGAAUUUUAAGGUUAAAAUGCCAUAAAGUUUUACAUUUCAUAUUCAGAGUUGAUAUUUGGGUGGCUUCAGAACACAGUCAAUUUUACAAUCUGGAACAGGAGUCCAGUUCUAUUUUGUUGGUUUUCAGAAACGGGGCCAUGAUUAAGAGGGACAGCUGGGGGCAGGAGUAUUGUGCCGUUAGAGGUGAAAUUCUUGGACCUGCGCAAUACAGCCUCGAGCAAAACCAUUUGCCAAGAAUGCUUUCAUUAAUCAAGAAUGAAAGCCAGAGCUUUGAAGACAAUCAGAUACUGUCAUAGUUCCAACCAUAAACAAUGCCAACUGGCAAUAGGCAUUUUUUUGGGUGUCUCUGUGGCGCAAUCGGUUAGCGCGUUCGGCUGUUAACCGAAAGGUUGGUGGU